rnacentral:rRNA from 1 species
GACGAACGCUGGCGGCGUGCCUAAUACAUGCAAGUCGAGCGGAACUGGGGGAGCUUGCUCCUUCCAGUUUAGCGGCGGACGGGUGAGUAACACGUGGGCAACCUGCCCUGCAGAUCGGGAUAACUCCGGGAAACCGGUGCUAAUACCGAAUAGUUUGGCGCCUCUCCUGAGGCGCUACGGAAAGACGGUUUCGGCUGUCACUGCAGGAUGGGCCCGCGGCGCAUUAGCUAGUUGGUGGGGUAACGGCCCACCAAGGCGACGAUGCGUAGCCGACCUGAGAGGGUGACCGGCCACACUGGGACUGAGACACGGCGCAGACUCCUACGGGAGGCAGCAGUAGGGAAUCUUCCGCAAUGGACGCAAGUCUGAUGGAGCAACGCCGCGUGAGUGACGAAGGUUUUCGGAUCGUAAAACUCUGUUGUGAGGGAAGAACACGUACCAACUAACUAUUGGUACCUUGACGGUACCUCACCAGAAAGCCACGGCUAACUACGUGCCAGCCGCCGCCGUAA